rnacentral:rRNA from 1 species
CCCUGGUAGUCCACGCCGUAAACGAUGUCUACUUGGAGGUUGUGCCCUUGAGGCGUGGCUUCCGGAGCUAACGCGUUAAGUAGACCGCCUGGGGAGUACGGCCGCAAGGUUAAAACUCAAAUGAAUUGACGGGGGCCCGCACAAGCGGUGGAGCAUGUGGUUUAAUUCGAUGCAACGCGAAGAACCUUACCUGGUCUUGACAUCCACAGAAGAAUCCAGAGAUGGAUUUGUGCCUUCGGGAACUGUGAGACAGGUGCUGCAUGGCUGUCGUCAGCUCGUGUUGUGAAAUGUUGGGUUAAGUCCCGCAACGAGCGCAAC